ensembl:miRNA
UUCUUUGGUAUUUAAAAGGUGGAUAUUCCUUCUAUGUUUACGUGAUUCAUAGAUAAUCAUAGAGGAAAAUCCAUGUUUUCAGUAUCAAAUGCU